rnacentral:snRNA from 1 species
AGACUUAACUGGCAGGGGAGAUACCAUGAUGAGGGUAGUUUUCCCAAGGCAAGUUUCAACCCUUGCACUCCAGGUGAUGAGAGAUUACUUAAUGGGUACAAUGCAUGUGAUUGGGGUGAUGGAUACUGUGGAACACUGACUUCAC